GCUCCAUCAUCUCUCCUCAAUCAAACUCACCUAUAAACAAAACUCUCCAAUUAAUCCUUUCUAAGGCCAAAGUACUUGAAAAUUCUUGGCACUUCCUCGGAAGGACAGGUCUUUGCUCAUCCAGUACCGCGGGCAGAGGAAUUCACGAGUGGGUGCGUAACUAACACUAAUAAAUAAAAGGUGUUGGCAUGAGGGUCUUCAACUUCACCUCUGUUUCAAAUUGUUACGAGAGCCUGGAAUUUUCUGUCCUACAAAUAAAGCCUGUAGGUUUUGGCCCAUGGAACUCGGGCAAGGCAC